rnacentral:rRNA from 1 species
AUUGCACGCUGGCGGCCGGCCUAACACAUGCAAGUCGCACGAGUGGCUGAAGGGUUAGUAAUGUCUGGGAAACUGACCGAUGGAGGUGGAUAACUACUGGAAACGGUAGCUAAUCCCGCAUCCCAUCUGAUGUGCCCAGAUAUGAUUAGCUAGUAGGUGGGGUAACGGCUCACCUAGGCGACGAUCCCUAGCUGGUCUGAGAGGAUGACCAGCAAAACUUGAACUGAGACUCGGUGCAGACGCCUUCGAGAGGGGGCAGUGGAGAAUAUUGCACAAUGGGCGAAAGCCUGAUGCAGCGAUGCCGCGUGGAUGAGGAAGGACUUCGGGUAGUAAAGUACGUUCGGCGAUGAGGGGUUAGUCUCAGAAGAAGCACCGGCUGACUGCGUGCCAGCGGCCGCGGUAAUUC